rnacentral:rRNA from 1 species
GACGAACGCUGGCGGCGUGCUUAACACAUGCAAGUCGAACGGGCUCUGUCUGGCUGGGUGCUGGGUGGGGUUAGUGGCGAACGGGUGAGUAAUACGUUAGUAACCUGCCCUCUUCUUUGGGAGAAGCCUUGGAAACGGGGUCUAAUACGGGAUAUUCCUGGCUGGUCGCAUGGCUGGGGGGGGAUAGGUUUGUUCGUUGGGGGAUGGGCUCGCAGCCUAUCAGCUUGUUGGUGGUGUGAUGGGCUACCAAGGCGUCGAUGGGUAGCCGGCCUGAGAGGGUUACGGGGCACACGGAGGCUGAGCUACGGCGCAGAGACAUACGGGAGGCCGCAGUGGCGGCUAGUGGACAAUGGGGGGAAGCCUAAUCAAGGGACGCAGCGCGGGUGAUGCCGUGUCUCGGGUUGUAAAAAUCCCUCAGCGUUGGACAAGGCUCUGCUUGGUGGUGGGGAUGAGGGUACCAGGUGAAGAAGCGCCGGCUAACUCCGUG